rnacentral:rRNA from 1 species
AUUGAACGCUGGCGGCAUGCCUUACACAUGCAAGUCGAACGGUAACGGGCCUUCGGGUGCCGACGAGUGGCGAACGGGUGAGUAAUACAUCGGAACGUGCCCGAUCGUGGGGGAUAACGAGGCGAAAGCUUUGCUAAUACCGCAUACGAUCUACGGAUGAAAGCAGGGGACCGCAAGGCCUUGCGCGGACGGAGCGGCCGAUGGCAGAUUAGGUAGUUGGUGGGAUAAAAGCUUACCAAGCCGACGAGCUGUAGCUGGUCUGAGAGGAUGAUCAGCCACACUGGGACUGAGACACGGCCCAGACUCCUACGGGAGGCAGCAGUGGGGAAUGUUGGACAAUGGGCGCAAGCCUGAUCCAGCCAUGCCGCGUGCAGGAUGAAGGCCUUCGGGUUGUAAACUGCUUUUGUACGGAACGAAAAGCCUUCUUUUAAUACAGGAGGGUCAUGACGGUACCGUAAGAAUAAGCACCGGCUAACUACGUG